rnacentral:rRNA from 1 species
UCAGUCGACUCCUACGGGGAGGCAGCAGUAAGGAAUAUUGGUCAAUGGAGGGAACUCUGAACCAGCCAUGCCGCGUGCAGGAAGACAGCCCUCUGGGUCGUAAACUGCUUUAUUCGGGGAAUAAACCUUUCUACGUGUAGGAAGCUGAAUGUACCGAAGGAAUAAGGAUCGGCUAACUCCGUGCCAGCAGCCGCGGUAAUACGGAGGAUCCAAGCGUUAUCCGGAUUUAUUGGGUUUAAAGGGUGCGUAGGCGGCUUAUUAAGUCAGGGGUGAAAGACGGUGGCUCAACCAUCGCAGUGCCCUUGAUACUGAUGAGCUUGAAUACACUAGAGGUAGGCGGAAUGUGACAAGUAGCGGUGAAAUGCAUAGAUAUGUCACAGAACACCGAUUGCGAAGGCAGCUUACUAUGGUGUUAUUGACGCUGAGGCACGAAAGCGUGGGGAUCAAACAGGAUUAGAUACCCUGGUAG